CUGGGCCUACGGGGGGCAACAGUGGGGGAUAUCGGACAAUGGGGGGAACCCUGAUCCAGCGACGCCGCGUGAGUGAAGAAGUAUUUCGGUAUGUAAAGCUCUGUCAGCAGGGAAGAAAGCAAUGACGGUACCUGACCAAGAAGCUCCGGCUAACUACGUGCCAGCAGCCGCGGUAAUACGUAGGGAGCAAGCGUUAUCCGGAUUUAUUGGGUGUAAAGGGUGCGUAGACGGGAAAUUAAGUUAGUUGUGAAAUCCCUCGGCUCAACUGAGGAACUGCAACUAAAACUGAUUUUCU
rnacentral:rRNA from 1 species